rnacentral:rRNA from 1 species
GACGUAGGGCGCGAGCGUUUGUCCGGAUUUAUUGGGCGUAAAGGGCUCGUAGGCGGUUUGUCACGUCAGGAGUGAAAACUCGGGGCUCAACCCCGAGCCUGCUUCUGAUACGGGCAGACUGGAGGUAUGCAGGGGAGAACGGAAUUCCUGGUGUAGCGGUGAAAUGCGCAGAUAUCAGGAGGAACACCGGUGGCGAAGGCGGGUCUCUGGGCCGAUACUGACGUGAGGAGCGAAAGCCGUGGGGAGCGAACAGG